rnacentral:rRNA from 1 species
UACGUAGGCAGCGAGCGUUGUUCGGAGUUACUGGGCGUAAAGGGUGUGUAGGCGGUUGUUUUAAGUUUGGUGUGAAAUCUCCCGGCUCAACUGGGAGGGUGCGCCGAAUACUGAAUGACUCGAGUGCGGGAGAGGAGAGUGGAAUUCCUGGUGUAGCGGUGAAAUGCGUAGAUAUCAGGAGGAACACCGGUGGUGUAGACGGCUCUCUGGACCGUAACUGACGCUGAGACACGAAAGCGUGGGUAGCAAACAGG